rnacentral:rRNA from 1 species
GACGAACCGUGCGAACGUUGUUCGGAAUCACUGGGCUUAAAGGGCGCGUAGGCGGGCGGUCAAGUCCGGGGUGAAAGCCCCCAGCUCAACUGGGGAAGUGCCUCGGAUACUGACGGCCUCGAGGGAGGUAGGGGCGUGCGGAACUUCCGGUGGAGCGGUGAAAUGCGUAGAUAUCCUGAGGAACACCGGUGGCGAAGGCGAGUCCCUGGACAACACCUGACACUGAGGCACGAAAGCUAGGGGAGCAAACAGG